rnacentral:lncRNA from 1 species
CAACUCGUCAAUUGUUGAGAUGACAGCAACCUGCCCUUCAAGUGGACCACAGCUUGAAAUAGGCACCAGAACAAGACAGCAGACCUUGUGCAAUGCACUCUCCCACGGGCCUCCCAUUCCAAUUUCCCCUUUUUAAGCCUUUCUCCCCAGCCUAAAGUUUUAAGAGGUUUCUGGAGGCGUAAGGUAAGCAGCCUGCUUCCCUGCUGCUAGCUUUGGAAACAAAGAUUCUAUUUAUGUUUAAUGAACAAAAAAAUUAGUUUCAAUGAAAACUUUAUUUGAAAUGAUGAAUUCAAGCUGUUACCAGCCUCCCAAGUAAGAUGCCAGAGACUUCAAACACUGCUGUUGUUUCUCAAGGAAAAGAUCCAGUUAACAAGGAAUCAUUCUCUCUUCUUCAAUAGCUGCUUACGAAAUAAAAACAUCAGUAGGAGGGGAAGGAGGAAGGAAGGAGAAGAAAGAGGAAGAAUAGGAGGAGAAGAGGAAGAGAGGAAGAAGUCGUGAACAGCCCUCCUGCAUUUUGCAUCAGGUAGAAAAGUCAGUUGAAUGUUGGGAAGAACACAAAUACUCACACAUUCCUCCCCAUUCUCUGAAUUCCCACAAAGACUGUUAUUGCUGGGGCUCAUAAAAUUAUACCCCAAAGUAUGAUGCUUUGGCAUCCAGAGUGCUUUGAACUAUAGGAGAUUGAAGGCCCCAGAAGCCAAGUUUCCCUCUGACCUUCUCCUGCCUUCCUGUCUUCCACCCCCUGCUUUUCCCCUGAAGUGAGUCCUGGAAGCCAGAAUUCUUCUUGCCCAAAGCAAGCCGUGACACCCUGGAAAUAUCACUCUAACCUUCCUUGCCUUUCCGUGUGGCAGCUGGCCAUGAAGAAAUUCUCUGACCUACCUUGUUUGAUAGCAGAUCACAAGACCCUGGUUCCAGAGCGGUCCUGCUUUACACCGAGGGAAAGGAAUGUCAUACAGAAAGGCCAAGAAGAAUCUGAAGAGAUGUCCAAUCACCUUUUCACGUGGCUGCCCAUUCUUCAUUGAACCUAAGCAUUAAAAUAGACAGUUUCCCCUGGGUCUUUGGGUCUUCAUUUCUGAAGACUCCAUGUCAUGUAAAACUUUGAUUAAAUAAAUGUAUCAUG